AUGAACGCUGGCGGCGUGCCUAAUACAUGCCAGUCGAGCGAACGGACGAGAAGCUUGCUUUUCUGAUGUUAGCGGCGGACGGGUGAGUAACACGUGGAUAACCUACCUAUAAGACUGGGAUAACUUCGGGAAACCGGAGCUAAUACCGGAUAAUAUUUUGAACCGCAUGGUUCAAAAGUGAAAGACGGUCUUGCUGUCACUUAUAGAUGGAUCCGCGCUGCAUUAGCUAGUUGGUAAGGUAACGGCUUACCAAGGCAACGAUGCAUAGCCGACCUGAGAGGGUGAUCGGCCACACUGGAACUGAGACAUGGUCCAGACUCCUACGGGAGGCAGCAGUAGGGAAUCUUCCGCAAUGGGCGAAAGCCUGACGGAGCAACGCCGCGUGAGUGAUGAAGGUCUUCGGAUCGUAAAACUCUGUUAUUAGGGAAGAACAUAUGUGUAAGUAACUGUGCACAUCUUGACGGUACCUAAUCAGAAAGCCACGGCUAACUACGUG
rnacentral:rRNA from 1 species